AGCAGUAGCCGCGGUAAUACGAAGGGGGCUAGCGUUGUUCGGAUUUACUGGGCGUAAAGCGCACGUAGGCGGAUCGAUCAGUCAGGGGUGAAAUCCCAGAGCUCAACUCUGGAACUGCCUUUGAUACUGUCGAUCUGGAGUAUGGAAGAGGUGAGUGGAAUUCUGAGUGCAGAGGUGAAAUUCGUAGAUAUUCGGAGGAACACCAGUGGCGAAGGCGGCUCACUGGUCCAUUACUGACGCUGAGGUGCGAAAGCGUGGGGAGCAAACAGGAUUAGAUACCCCCGUAGUCCCUGUCUCUUAUAC
rnacentral:rRNA from 1 species